rfam:Triticum aestivum genome assembly, contig: Triticum_aestivum_CS42_TGACv1_scaffold_514661_6BS
CAACUACUCCCUCUACUCCAAAUUUCUUGUCUUAUAUUUGUCUAGAUACGGAUGUAUCUAAUACUAAAAUGUGACUUGAUACAUCCGUAUCUAGACAAAUCUAAGACAAGAAUUUUGGGACGGAGGGAGUACUUU